rnacentral:lncRNA from 10 species
GUAAAUACUUGUUAAGGCAGGUUGAAGAUCUUCGUCCCGGGCUUUCCAUCACCCGCGGAAUGAAGCUCUACCUCCUUCCCCCGGGGUCAGGACCCUGAGCAGCAGGGACUCGCGGACCCCUGCUCUGCCCUGCUCACACUGAGUGUCGCUAGGGCCAUGAAGGGCCAAGCUCCCCCCGCAAGCUCGUUUUUUCCCUUGAUGCACCAUUUGAACUGCUUGGUCUCCCCUUGCACCCAGGUUUCCUCUCCUCUGUACUCAUAGGCAGAUUACAUGCAUUUGCAUUUUUUUUCAGCACUCAGUUUAUCCAUCACUUUACCCAGGAAGCCUGUGCUGACUCUUGGAUGGAAGGCAUCGUGCUCGGGAGCCUCCCUGUGACUGCUUUGACUCAUGUGCCCAUGUGCACUCCUCCAUCUCUUGUGCGUUGCUCGCUGCAUGGGAGACUCAGCUGGUCAGGAACUGUGGGUCACCUAAGGGUCAUUGUCUUCACAGUUCAGCCCUAGGGUAUACCGCAGUGCAUCACACCUGCUGGGUGCAUAAGUACCAUUUGUUGAACAUUUGAAUAGCCCUAUGUAAAAAAUACCUGAAGGCAAGUCUGGAUAAAGUCUCCUGUUCGCUAAAGACAGGUAGGGUAGAUAAACGUUUAACAGUAUGAAUCUUCUUUGGGGAGUGCCCCUGUCUAGCAGUGUGAUCUUACAUAUGAGACACAAGCACUGCAUGCCUCGGCUUUCUCAUCUCUGAAGUGGGGUUAAUGGCAGCACUGCUGUCUGAUGAGCCCGGUGCAUGUCAUCUGUGACUCACGUGGGCAUUGCCUGCAGAUGCCUGGCUGAUGCUAUGGCCAGUGCUGGCAUCACCAGCCUUAGGAGCUUCCUAUUUUAGGCCCACAAUGUGUCUAACGGCUUUAUCACAAUCUUACAUAAAAGCUAUGUAUAUUUGUAUGCUGUAUAUGUAGGUAUGCAUCUAUAUGUUAAUUCACUAGUGUAAUUCUUAUUGAUUUAUUAGUUAUAAUCCUUCCAAAAGAAGUCAUUGGUUUUAAAUUCACCAAGUUGAAGGAUGUAAGAGAAAUACACAUAUGAGAAGAAGUUGUUGGGCAUGGAUUAUUUUCAGCAAAUGGUACCACCAUGAGUGUUUGGGAAAUGAUAAUUCUCUCGUCCAUUGUACUGAAUCAGAUUUUAGUUCUAAAUUUCCAUUCGUCUCAUUGAGUGUCAUAAAUUUGCUUGAUGCUCUAAGUUCUUGAUGCCUGUGUGAUUUCUUAUUUUGAUGACAUUUUCCAAUGCCACGUGAUAUUUUUGAAAUGAAAAAAUUUGUACAUUUUGAUCAACUUGCCAGCAAACACCCCUUGAGAGCCCUCCAGCUCCAGGAGCUUAGACGUCGUGACUCCGGCACCCACCGGAUGCUCCACUCACUUUGUUUUGGCCUUCACACAACAAACCUGACUUUAAUACAAACCCAACUGAAAAGCACUGGACGUUGCAAGACUUCAAAGGCCACUCAUCAGCACCUUUCCCAAGCUCCUGCUUGCCACCUGCACAUGACAGAUGUGACAGCUUAGACGAAACCCAUGAGGUUUUUCUCCCCAGCCUUUGGUGCGGAGCUCCCAUCUGGAGCCGUGUUUCAUCUGGCACUGCGGGGCAUGAGAACUAACAGCUGGUUAAUGGCCUGGCUCCCACAGCAUUGUUCCCCUCACCCCAGCUCUGUGAAGCCGCUCUUGUGCCCAGGUGACCGGCAUUAGCAGCUGUGAGCUCCUGUAAGGAAAGCCACAACUUUGGACUCAGAGUCUCUGGUUUUGAAGCCCUUCCCCUUCCCCAUUUUUCCCCAUACCUGGGGGAGCUCUGUGAGCUUAGGUUUCCUUGUAUGUAAUAGCGGAAUAUCAAUACCUACCUUAUAGGGCUAUUGUAGGGAGCACACAAAGAACAUAUUAGUAAAAGUAAAGCUCUUCAAUCAAUGUUUGCUUUUCCUGUUGAGAAGCACAGAUUUCUGAAUUCUACUAGUAGCAUAAUGAGAAACGGAAAGCUUACUUAGAACACUUUUUUUCAAACCCAAACUCCAGCUUCUCCCCUUCAAUGUCCCCUCUCCGAAGUAGCCUUCCUCCUCACUCGGUGAUUGGGGUGAGGUAUUUGGAACAUUGAUGGGCACGUGCUGGGGAGUGGGGGUGAUAUGGAGGCCAAGAUUGUUUCAGACUGAACGCCGUCAUGACUGCAGCCUCCAUAGUCGGUCUGGGCUUCCCUAGCAGACACCUCCUUUACCCUAGAGGCUGAACGUUUAAAUGAUUCCAUCAAGGACAGGUACAGAUUGUGGCAGGCCCAGAGCUGUGUUCUAGGUCUCCUGAUUAUUGAACCAGACCAUUUUUAACAGCUGUGCUGACGUGCUAUGUGCACAUUAAGAGAUGGAGGUGACCGUGGUACAAGAGGAAAUCAUGGUGAAUAGGAUUUUAAAAAGUGCCUGCAACACAGCAGAGCCAGCAGUGUCACCAUCGAUGGGAUCCUUCGGGUUCCAAGAGACGGAAACCCAAGUCAGCUUCCUUAAGCAGAUGAGGAUGGUGGCAACAAAAUAAAAUCAGGCAUUUUCACCAUCAGGUGUUUGGGGAAUCUCGAGUUACAAAUGGUUGCAUGGAGAGGGGUCAAAUGAUGUCACCCAGGUGCUUGCCGUCUUUCCUUCUUUUUUUCUGUUCUGCUUCUCUCUCAUUUGUUUCUUUCUUGAUAGGCUCCUCAUCUAUGUGAUGAGUAAGAUAGUUGUCAUCAGUCCUCGGCUUAUACUUCCAAAUUUAAUUACCAGCCAUGGCAGAAAGGUCCCAUAGACGACGCAGAGCAGCUCCGUUUUAGCACAAGUUCAGAGGGUGUGAAUUCCUUACUGGCCCUGCCAUCGCGACCGCAGGGCUGGGGAAGAGCACUCCUCCAAAAGAAAACUAGGCACUGUUGUAAGAAGAGAUUUCAUGCAGAUGCCAACAUAAGGCAUUUUGCUAUGGCACCCUUCUCUUUUACUGAUUAAAUGAUCUCAAAAACAGUAGUAGUGCCAUCUGUUUUUGAGACAUGGUCUUGCUCUGUUGCCCAGGCUGGAGUGCAAUGGCACAAAAAUAGCUCACUGCAGCUGUGAACUUCUGGACUCAAGUGAUCCUCCUGCCUCAGGCUUCUGAGUAGGUGGGGCAACAGGUUUACAUAACCAUGCCCAGCUAAUUUUAUUUUUAUUUUCACUUUUUAGAGAUGGAGCGGUCUUGCUAUGUUGCCCAGGCUGGUCUUGAAUUCUUGGCCUCGAGGAAUCCUCUCACCUCAGCAUCCUUAGUCACUGGGAUUAUAGGCAUGAGCCACCAGGCCUGGCUACAAUGUUUUUUUUGUAACAUCACGUGAACAUUCAUUUUUAAAACCAGUCAAGUAUAUUUGGAAACCAAAUAGGCCCGGUUUAGUAGAUCAGUAGCAGAGAUGCUCCUGCAUUGCUAAACUAAAGUUGGCUGAAAGAAAACUUGAGAAAUGGUUUAUUUUAUUACC